GCCUGGGCAAGAAACAGGACCACCAGUCUUCCCAGGAGAAAUGGGCAGGCUCCUGGGGGGUUUGCUGUUGCUUUUCUGUCUUCAGCCACACUGGGUGAAUAGUCAACAGCAGAAUAAUGAGCAGCAACAGGUGAAGCAGAAUUCUCCAUCCCUGAGUGUGCAGGAAGGAGGAACUUCUAUUCUGAACUGUGACUACAGUAAUAAUUUGUUUACUUACUUUGCAUGGUACAAAAAAUACCCAGCUAAAGGUCCUACAUUCCUGAUAUCAGUAAGUUCAGUUGCGAAUAAAAAGGAAGAUGGAAGAUUCACA